rnacentral:pre_miRNA from 1 species
UGAUGGCGUAGGAAUCGCCCAGUUCGUGAAAUCUCUAAGUGAGGCGUUCUUGCCAUGGAUGUGGCAAGCUACAACGAAGCCUUUCCUCAGAGCUUUCACGAAUUGGGCAAUUCCUAUAGUCGUCG